rnacentral:rRNA from 1 species
AACGAACGCUGGCGGCAGGCUUAACACAUGCAAGUCGAACGAGAUCUUCGGAUCUAGUGGCAGACGGGUGAGGAACACGUGGGAACAUCCCUUUCAGUUCGGAAUAACGUUGGGAAACUAACGCUAAUACCGGAUACGUCCUUCGGGAGAAAGAUUUAUCGCUGCAAGAUUGGCCCGAUGUCCGAUUAGCUAGUUGGCGGGGUAAAGGCCCACCAAGGCGACGAUCGGUAGCUGGUCUGAGAGGAUGAUCAGCCACACUGGAACUGAGACACGGUCCAGACUCCUACGGGAGGCAGCAGUGGGGAAUAUUGGACAAUGGGGGCAACCCUGAUCCAGCCAUGCCGCGUGUGUGAAGAAGGCCUUCGGGUUGUAAAGCACUUUUGUUGGGAAAGAAAUCCUGUCGGCCAAUACCCGGCGGGGAUGACGGUACCCAAAGAAUAAGCACCGGCUAACUUCGUGCCAGCCGCCGCAGUAA